rnacentral:rRNA from 1 species
UACAGAGGUGCCAAGCGUUAGGCGGAAUCACUGGGCUUAAAGCGUGUGUAGGCGGAUGCCUAAGUACCUUGUGAAAUCCCCCGGCUCAACCGGGGAAUUGCUGGGCAUACUGGUGGUCUUGAGCGAUCUAGGGGCAGAUGGAACAAGUGGUGGAGCGGUGAAAUGCGUAGAUAUCACUUGGAACGCCAAAGGUGAAGACAGUCUGCUGGGGAUCUGCUGACGCUGAGACACGAAAGCCAGGGGAGCGAACGGG